CACAGAGACGUACCUGAGACUGGAGUCUUCCAGAGUGUCUCUGGAUAGGUGAGCAGCAGUUGCUAUCAGUAGAACAUCUGUUUUUAAAUUUCUAUUACGUCUUACCCUGCUUUACUGUUCACAGCCGUGCUGCAUUCCGCCGGCUCAAGAAGUCGUGUGAGGCCUUGAGCAUCCCUCCUCCUGAGCUGGUCUUCUCCAGGGAGAGCUGUCUGGUUGCCACGGCCUCCAUCCCCUUGAUUGAAAUGGAGAACCUUGGUUUCUGCAAUCUGGGCAACUCUUGCUUCAUGAACGCCAUCCUGCAGAGUUUGCUCAGUCUCAGCUCAGUUUGCAGCGACCUCGUGACACAAGAGUCUGCUGAGCCUGAGGAGAAGUCUGAGGACAGCCACACAUCCUUCAGCCUUCUGAGGAGUCUUGCCCAACUGCAUCUGUCAAGGAACAACAGCAAUAAGAUCAAGAAGGGUAUUCUGAAGGAGAUGGAGCAAUGGGCAUUUAGCUGUUUACCAGAUUUCUCAGAGGGGAUGGAUCAGGAUGCUCACGAGUUCCUGAUGAUGUGCCUGUCCCAAAUGAAAUCAGAGGGAGAGGCACUAAUGUUUAGCAGGGAGUCCUACCGGUGUCCAGUGGCCAACUUUGAGUUCAUGGUGGACUCUAUUCGCACCUGCAAGAGGUGA
ensembl:lncRNA